rnacentral:rRNA from 1 species
GAUGAACGCUGGCGGCGUGCCUAAUACAUGCAAGUCGAGCGAACGGACGAGAAGCUUGCUUUUCUGAUGUUAGCGGCGGACGGGUGAGUAACACGUGGAUAACCUACCUAUAAGACUGGGAUAACUUCGGGAAACCGGAGCUAAUACCGGAUAAUAUUUUGAACCGCAUGGUUCAAAAGUGAAAGACGGUCUUGCUGUCACUUAUAGAUGGAUCCGCGCUGCAUUAGCUAGUUGGUAAGGUAACGGCUUACCAAGGCAACGAUGCACAGCCGACCUGAGGGGUGGUCCGGCCCACUGGGACUGAGACCCGGGCCCAACUCCCUAGGGAGGCAGGCGUUGGGAAUUUUGCCGCAUGGGGGAAAGCCCGAUCGGGCAAACGCCGGGGGGGGAAGAAAGUCUUUGGGUUGUUAAAACCUUUUUAUUGGGGAAAAAAAUUUGGGUAAAAAACUGGCGAACUUUGGAGGGACCCGAAGAAGAAAGCCCCGGCAAACUCGUG